UACGUAGGGUGCAAGCGUUAAUCGGAAUUACUGGGCGUAAAGCGUGCGCAGGCGGUCUUUUAAGUCAGAUGUGAAAUCCCCGGGCUUAACCUGGGAACUGCGUUUGAAACUGAAAGGCUAGAGUGUGGCAGAGGGGGGUGGAAUUCCACGUGUAGCAGUGAAAUGCGUAGAGAUGUGGAGGAACACCGAUGGCGAAGGCAGCCCCCUGGGCUAACACUGACGCUCAUGCACGAAAGCGUGGGGAGCAAACAGG
rnacentral:rRNA from 1 species